GACGAACGCUGGCGGCGUGCCUAAUACAUGCAAGUAGAACGCUGAAGGAGGAGCUUGCUUCUCUGGAUGAGUUGCGAACGGGUGAGUAACGCGUAGGUAACCUGCCUGGUAGCGGGGGAUAACUAUUGGAAACGAUAGCUAAUACCGCAUAAGAGCAGAUGUUGCAUGACAUUUGCUUAAAAGGUGCAAUUGCAUCACUACCAGAUGGACCUGCGUUGUAUUGGCUAGUUGGUGGGGUAACGGCUCACCAAGGCGACGAUACAUAGCCGACCUGAGAGGGUGAUCGGCCACACUGGGACUGAGACACGGCCCAGACUCCUACGGGAGGCAGCAGUAGGGAAUCUUCGGCAAUGGACGGAAGUCUGACCGAGCAACGCCGCGUGAGUGAAGAAGGUUUUCGGAUCGUAAAGCUCUGUUGUAAGAGAAGAACGAGUGUGAGAGUGGAAAGUUCACACUGUGACGGUAUCUACCAGAAAGG
rnacentral:rRNA from 1 species